CGCCGGGGUGAAUACGUUCCCGGGCCUUGUACACACCGCCCGUCAAGCCAUGGAAGCUGGGGGUGCCUGAAGUCGGUAACCGCAAGGAGCCGCCUAGGGUAAAACCGGUAACUGGGGCU
rnacentral:rRNA from 1 species